rnacentral:rRNA from 1 species
AGUGAACGCUGGCGGCGUGCUUAACACAUGCAAGUCGAACGAGAACGGAAUAUAGCUUGCUAUAUUUGUCAGCUAAGUGGCGCACGGGUGAGUAAUGUGUAGAUAACCUGCCCUUAAGAAAGGAAUAACAGUUGGAAACGACUGCUAAUGCCCUAUAUGCCUUUAAUACAUAAGUAUGCAAGGGAAACGCUUUAGUGCUUAAGGAUGGGUCUGUAUGGUAUCAGCUUGUUGGUGAGGUAAUGGCUCACCAAGGCUAUGACGCCUAACUGGUUUGAGAGGAUGAUCAGUCACACUGGAACUGAGACGCGGUCCAGACUCCUACGGGAGGCAGCAGUGGGGAAUAUUGCACAAUGGACGAAAGUCUGAUGCAGCAACGCCGCGUGGAGGAUGACACAUUUCGGUGCGUAAACUCCUUUUAUAUAGGAAGAUAAUGACGGUACUAUAUGAAUAAGCACCGGCUAACUCCGUGCCAGCCGCCGCUGUAA